rnacentral:lncRNA from 1 species
ACUGUAACUGUGGUGACAAAGAAAAGGGAAGAUGGAGCCUCCAUGUUGAACAUACCUGGCCCCCAGCACUAACUCCCUCUCUGGAUAUCUGGAACAAGGAGGACCUUAAACUUAACAAUAAAGCCAAUGAUGGUUCUACCAGUCUCCCCAAAGCCUCAAGUUUAAAAGCCAUAUGAACUGGCUGAUAGUGGAAAAUGGAAGCCAUGAGGUUGAAAAGUGAAUCCUCAAAGGAAAAAUGGAAACUACUCUUGAACUUGUUGGGAUUUGAAAUUUCCUCAGGAAAUCAGAUUAGAGUACUACCUGGUGAAGCCUGGAGGACCUACCAAGAAAAGCAAACUUGGAUCUUUGCAAGGUUAGAAGAACGAAUGGGAUCCAAGAAAAAGACUGGUCAUAUUCAACGGCUAAGAGCGUUGGAGAAGGCCUGUGGAGUCUCAGCAGGUCAGGUCCAUGACUCAUGAGUAGACACCUGUGUUUCUACUGCCUGGUGCCAUAAUCAUAAACAAGGAAGAAACUGAGGACAGGAGGGGCCAAACAAGUUACAGUUUCAUCCCUCCAGAGAGCCAACAGAGUAUUUUGCACGAAGUUGAAGCUAAACAGGUAUUAUGUCCUAUCUCUGGACUGAAUGACUAGAUGCUACUCAGCUUCUGAACUAGAGGAAGCCUGGGACCUUGACCGCACUAAUGCUGAUGACAGCGGAUUUGCAAGUGGCUAGAGGUACCAGAUUUAGCAAAUCAAAAUAUAGGACGUCAAGUUAAAUUUAAGUGUAAGAUAAGCUACGAAUACCUUUUCUAGUAUUAGUACGUCCCAUGCAAUAUACUAGAAAUGUUAUUCGUUAUUUAUGUUAAAUUUAAUUUUAUUAGGGCAUCCUAUAUUUUACCUGUCAAUCCAACCCAUGACCUAGGCAGACACUGUAGAAAAACAAAAGGAGAAUUAAGGAGAUAAAUGAAACACAGGGUGAGCUGAAAAGAGGUGCUCUGUGAAUUUGAGGGUCCAGUAGGAGCUGACUUGUAGGUACUUGGUCUGUUUUGAUGCCCACAACAACCUUGGGGAAGGGGCGGAAUAGCAGAGGGGUAAGCUCUCUGCCCCCCACCAGG